GUUGUUGAUCUUGAAGUGUGUUGUUGAUGAUCUUGAAGUGUUGUUGAUGUUGAAGUGUGUUCUUUUUGGUUUUGCUAGGUUGACAAAGGUCUUAACAAGGCAAAAGGGAAUCCUAUGGCAUUCUAUAAGGUUUUGCCACAAUCCAUUGGAGCAAUGAAACCAUGGAUACGCCAAUUAGUUGAUGUAUAGCCUUUUUUAUAGGUUUGGUAGGAAAUUUUUUUGUUUAAAUGUAAUUAUUUAAAAUAGUUUGUUCGUACCAAAAAACAUUUGUACUAACAAUUAAAGAAAUAUUAGUAAGUGUUUAUUUCUAUUAAAA